rnacentral:misc_RNA from 1 species
AAGUCGUAACAAGGUUUCCGUAGGUGAACCUGCGGAAGGAUCAUUAAUAAGUUCGUCCUACUUGCUCCGGCAAAAGGAUAGAUUCCACGUGUAAAACAGCGACCUCGCAAGAGGGAGCUGGGUUAGCCCCCAAGCAAUUGGGAUCUGGCGACUUGCGGUGGCCCGGUAGUAAUACUGGCCUUUAGGAUGGAUAUACUUAACCCGUGUCUACCUUCUUUGUUGCUUUGGCAGGCCGCCUUUUAGGCGUUGGCUUUCGGCUGACCGUGCCUGCCAGAGGACCCAAACUCUUUUGUUUCAGUA